CCGCUGAGUGGGGAGGAGAGGGGGACAGAGAGCCUGCUUCUUUAAAGGAGCAAAGCGGGAGAGGAGAGGAGCCGCUUACACGAGUGUAAGCGGCUCCUGUGUGUAUUCGGCUCCUGUCCGGUUGGCUCCUUUAAAGUAAGCAGGCUCUCUGUCCCUCUCUCCUCCCCACUCAGCU